UUGCUCGGAAUCACUGGGCGUAAAGCGCACGUAGGCGGCUUUCUAAGUCAGGGGUGAAAUCCUGGAGCUCAACUCCAGAACUGCCUUUGAUACUGGAGAGCUUGAGUCCGGGAGAGGUGAGUGGAACUCCGAGUGUAGAGGUGAAAUUCGUAGAUAUUCGGAAGAACACCAGUGGCGAAGGCGGCUCACUGGCCCGGUACUGACGCUGAGGAGCGAAAGCGUGGGGAGCGAACAGG
rnacentral:rRNA from 1 species